GAAUAUUUGGUUGUUUCAAAACAAAUACGAGUUUCUGUUUCGUCUUGGACUACGUAGAGGGACAGGACUUGGCUAAUUAUUUAUAAACUAAUGGACGCUUUCUAGAAAUCCAAGCCAAAUUGAUUGCUUCGCAAGUAGCCUCGGCCAUUAUGUUUAUUCAUAAUAAGGAUGACUUUAUAAAUCUAUUUAUUCAUUCGUUUCGUCAACUAAUAGGAGCGUAUCAUAAAAUUUCUUUUUAUCUACGACAGGAAUAAUUCAUAGAGACAUAAGCUUCAGUAACAUCAUGCUUGAUAAGACCAAAGGAACACAGUUAAUCGAUUUCGGUCUCUGCACAGAUUCAAAUAAAAGUCUUUCGGAAACGGGCAUCAGUAAACACAUGUAUUUUGAUGGUGUCCCGUGGCCAGAAUUAGUCCAGACUUGACUGAUCAAUGAAUAUAUUCAAAAGC